GAUCGUAAAACCCUGUUGUUAGAGAAGAAAGUGCGUGAGAGUAACUGUUCACGUUUCGACGGUAUCUAACCAGAAAGCCACGGCUAACUACGUGCCAGCAGCCGCGGUAAUACGUAGGUGGCAAGCGUUAUCCGGAUUUAUUGGGCGUAAAGGGAACGCAGGCGGUCUUUUAAGUCUGAUGUGAAAGCCUUCGGCUUAACCGGAGUAGUGCAUUGGAAACUGGGAGACUUGAGUGCAGAAGAGGAGAGUGGAACUCCAUGUGUAGCGGUGAAAUGCGUAGAUAUAUGGAAGAACACCAGUGGCGAAAGCGGCUCUCUGGUCUGUAACUGACGCUGAGGUUCGAAAGCGUGGGUAGCAAACAGGAUUAGAUACCCUGGUAGUCCACGCCGUAAACGAUGAAUGCUAAGUGUUGGAGGGUUUCCGCCCUUCA
rnacentral:rRNA from 1 species